rnacentral:misc_RNA from 1 species
UUUCCGUAGGUGAACCUGCGGAAGGAUCAUUAUUGGAUUUUGAAACUUCAGGCUGCUGCUGGCUCUCCUCGGAGGGCAUGUGCACGCUUGUUGUCCAUUAUUUCUCCCACUGUGCACAAAUUGUAGACCUUUCAGUAGGCCUAUGUUGUUUUUCACAAUCUCUGAAUGUAAUAGAAUGGUUUUGAAUCUUAGGAAAUACAAUACAACUUUCAGCAACGGAUCUCUUGGCUCUC